rnacentral:rRNA from 1 species
UACGUAAGUGGCGAGCGUUAUCCGGAAUUACUGGGCGUAAAGGGUGCGUAGGUGGUGAGGUAAGUCGGAUGUGAAAUCUCCGAGCUCAACUCGGAAAUGGCAUUGGAAACUACCUUGCUCGAGGGUUGGAGGGGGGACUGGAAUGCUUGGUGUAGCAGUGAAAUGCGUAGAUAUCAAGCGGAACACCAGUGGCGAAGGCGAGUCCCUGGACAACUCCUGACACUGAGGCACGAAAGCUAGGGGAGCAAACAGG